rnacentral:rRNA from 1 species
ACUAUGCUUGGCCCUAAACCUCAGUAGUUAGAUAACAAAACUACUCGCCAGAAUACUACGAGCAACAGCUUAAAACUCAAAGGACUUGACGGUGCUUUACAUCCCCCUAGAGGAGCCUGUUCCGUAAUCGAUAAACCCCGAUCCACCCCACCCUCUCUUGCUCAGCCUAUAUACCGCCAUCUUCAGCAAACCCUAAUGAAGGCUACAAAGUGAGCGCAAACGCCACUGCCGCGAAUACGUUAGGUCAAGGUGUAGCCCAUGAGACGGUAAAAAAUGGGCUACAUUUUCUAUUUCAGAAAACCCCACGAAAACCCUUAUGAAACUUAAGGGUCCAAGGAGGAUUUAGCAGUAAAUUAAGAAUAGAGUGCUUAAUUGAACCAGGCCAUAAAGCGCGCACACACCGCCCGUCACUCCUCUCAAAUAUAUUUAAGGAAUACCCUAACUAAACGCCCUAAUAUUUAUAUAGAGAGGAUAAGUCGUAACAUGGUAAGCGUACUGGAAGGUGCGCUUGGAUAAAU